rnacentral:rRNA from 1 species
AACGAACGCUGGCGGCGUGCCUAACACAUGCAAGUCGAACGGAGUUAUAGUUGUAGCAAUACAGGUAUAGCUUAGUGGCGGACGGGUGAGUAACACGUAGGUAACCUACCCUUAGGCGGGGGGACAACUCAGGGAAACUUGAGCUAAUACCGCAUAAAUCCACGGGCUGGGAUGCUUGUGGGGAAAGUGGCAACACACCUAAGGAUGGGCCUGCGGCCUAUCAGGUAGUUGGUGGGGUAAGAGCCCACCAAGCCGAAGACGGGGUAGCCGGGGCUGAGAGGUUGAACGGCCACACUGGAACUGAGACACGGUCCAGACUCCUACGGGAGGCUG